AUUGAACGCUGGCGGCAGGCCUAACACAUGCAAGUCGAGCGGAUGAAGGGAGCCUGCUCCUGGAUUCAGCGGCGGACGGGUGAGUAAUGCCUAGGAAUCUGCCUGGUAGUGGGGGAUAACGUCCGGAAACGGGCGCCAAUACCGCAUACGUCCUGAGGGAGAAAGUGGGGGAUCUUCGGACCUCACGCUAUCAGAUGAGCCUAGGUCGGAUUAGCUAGUUGGUGGGGUAAAGGCCUACCAAGGCGACGAUCCGUAACUGGUCUGAGAGGAUGAUCAGUCACACUGGAACUGAGACACGGUCCAGACUCCUACGGGAGGCAGCAGUGGGGAAUAUUGGACAAUGGGCGAAAGCCUGAUCCAGCCAUGCCGCGUGUGUGAAGAAGGUCUUCGGAUUGUAAAGCACUUUAAGUUGGGAGGAAGGGCAGUAAGUUAAUACCUUGCUGUUUUGACGUUACCAACAGAAUAAGCACCGGCUAACUUCGUG
rnacentral:rRNA from 1 species